rnacentral:lncRNA from 1 species
GCAUUUUCUUUGAAAUGGCUUCUGGAAGACCUUUAUUUCCAGGAUCAACCGUGGAAGAUGAACUGCACUUAAUUUUCCGACUGCUAGGAACUCCAUCUCAGGAAACUUGGCCAGGUAUUUCUUCAAAUGAGGAGUUCAAGAACUACAACUUUCCAAAAUAUAAACCACAGCCUCUAAUUAACCACGCACCCAGGUAUUUUUUUUUCUUAUGUGAAAGGGGGGAAAACACAUGAUUCUUUUCAAUCUUUUGAAGGAUUAGCCACAGUAAGGAUUCAGGAAAAAAUACAUAAUACACAUAACCCUUACGUAUUUUAGGAUCUUAUUUAAUUUUGAACUGUAUAUGUUUUAGAAUUCUAGAGUUUAUGUAGUUACUUUUCCCAGAAAGAAGACAUUGAUUAAUGCCUUAUUCCGUACCACAGAGAUUAUGAUGAAAUUCCUGUUUUGCUUUCUACAGAAUUAUUCUGUAUUUACUUAACAAAAACCUAAGAAAGGGUUAUGUAAGUAAA